AACGAACGCUGGCGGCAGGCUUAACACAUGCAAGUCGAGCGCCCCGCAAGGGGAGCGGCAGACGGGUGAGUAACACGUGGGAACGUACCCUUUACUACGGAAUAACUCAGGGAAACUUGUGCUAAUACCGUAUGUGCCCUUCGGGGGAAAGAUUUAUCGGUAAAGGAUCGGCCCGCGUUGGAUUAGCUAGUUGGGGGGGUAAAGGCCUACCAAGGCGACGAUCCAUAGCUGGUCUGAGAGGAUGAUCAGCCACAUUGGGACUGAGACACGGCCCAAACUCCUACGGGAGGCAGCAGUGGGGAAUAUUGGACAAUGGGCGCAAGCCUGAUCCAGCCAUGCCGCGUGAGUGAUGAAGGCCCUAGGGUUGUAAAGCUCUUUCACCGGUGAAGAUAAUGACGGUAACCGGAGAAGAAGCCCCGGCUAACUUCGUGCCAGCAGCCGCCGUAACAC
rnacentral:rRNA from 1 species